GUCUUUGAGGGCGAAAUGGGUCUGGACCCUCUAAAGGGGAAGAGGGGGAGCUUAGCUGCUGAGACUCCAAAGAGUUCCUGUCUCCAGGUGCAUAUAUAGGGGACAAAGGCAGAAAUAAAUUCCGAGGAUUGAGACCCUUAACUCCUGAAUCAGGAUUUUCAUGAACUGUCUCAGGUCAAUGAAGGCCAAUGUCUCUUGCUGACACACAGCAAUGUGUUGGUGCUGCCGCAGGAGAGGCCUUCCUUCCCGAGAAUCGCUCAGUGCCUGGGUCUCAACUGAGCCUGGGAACCACAUGUCAGAGCUCUCGCCUCUGCAAUGGAACGCUUGGAGGUGAGGCUGGAAAUCAAGAAGAGGAGAGAUUCCAUAGCCAGGAAGCAUGUCUCAGAUGGCACAUGGGUACUGCAAAACAAUUGAGAAACAAAGAAACCAGAAACAAUAUUAGAUAUUAUAGCGCAUCUUUAUUUUGAGUACAAAGGAAAAUAAAUUGAGCACAAAGGAGUGGA
ensembl:processed_transcript